rnacentral:rRNA from 1 species
UACGAAGGGGGCUAGCGUUGCUCGGAAUGACUGGGCGUAAAGGGCGCGUAGGCGGCUUGCACCGUCAGAUGUGAAAUUCCCGGGCUCAACCUGGGGGCUGCACUUGAUACGUAUGGACUGGAGUGGGGAAGAGGGUCGUGGAAUUCCCAGUGUAGAGGUGAAAUUCGUAGAUAUUGGGAAGAACACCGGUGGCGAAGGCGGCGACCUGGUCCUUGACUGACGCUGAGGCGCGAAAGCGUGGGGAGCAAACAGG